rnacentral:rRNA from 1 species
GAUGAACGCUGGCGGCGUGCCUAAUACAUGCAAAUCGAGCGAACGGACGAGAAGCUUGCUUCUCUGAUGUUAGCGGCGGACGGGUGAGUAACACGUGGAUAACCUACCUAUAAGACUGGGAUAACCUCGGGAAACCGGAGCUAAUACCGGAUGAUAUUUUGAACCGCAUGGUUCAAAAGUGAAAGACGGUCUUGCUGUCACUUAUAGAUGGAUCCGCGCUGCAUUAGCUAGUUGGUAAGGUAACGGCUUACCAAGGCAACGAUGCAUAGCCGACCUGAGAGGGUGAUCGGCCACACUGGAACUGAGACACGGUCCAGACUCCUACGGGAGGCAGCAGUAGGGAAUCUUCCGCAAUGGGCGAAAGCCUGACGGAGCAACGCCGCGUGAGUGAUGAAGGUCUUCGGAUCGUAAAACUCUGUUAUUAGGGAAGAACAUAUGUGUAAGUAACUGUGCACAUCUUGACGGUACCUAAUCAGAAAGCCACGGCUAACUACGUG